GACGAACGCUGGCGGCGUGCUUAACACAUGCAAGUCGAACGCUGAAGCCCUUCGGGGUGGAUGAGUGGCGAACGGGUGAGUAACACGUGGGUAAUCUGCCCUGCCCUCUGGGAUAAGCCUUGGAAACGGGGUCUAAUACCGGAUAGGACACAUCGCCGCAUGGUGUGUGUGUGGAAAGUUCCGGCGGUCCAGGGUGAGCCGGCGGCCUUUCACCUUGUUGGAGGGGUAAUGGCCUACCAAGGCGUCGACGGGUAGCCGGCCUGAGAGGUUGACCGGCCACACGGGGACGUAGACACGGGCCGGACUCCUACGGGAGGCAGCAGUGGGGAAUCUUGCGCAGUGGGGGAAAGCCUGACGCAGCAUCGCCGCGUGGGGGAUGACGGCCUUCGGGUUGUAAACCUCUUUCGACCGGGACGAAGGAUUCGUUUGACGGUACCGGUAGAAGAAGCACCGGCUAACUACGUGCCAGCCGCCGCCGUAA
rnacentral:rRNA from 1 species